CAAAAACUAAAGACAUUUUCUCUAUGAUUUUAUUUUAGGUCUUUUUUUUUACACAAUACUGUUUCUGUUAUGUUUUUGGUAAAGUUGUUUUAAAUUUUAGUUUCAGUUAAUGAAAAUGUUUUUUACACUUGAGUUUUUGUUAUUUGUUUGAUUUCGUUAACAAUCCUAACCUUGGAAUGAACACAGUCAACUUUUACUGGACUGAUUCCUAAUUUGUACUUUUCAGCAUUUGUUGGGUCUGGAUGUUUAACAUUGCAAUCUUCAAACUGUCUUACAGUUACAUGUAGUCUUACACUGACCUGAACCACUGCAUGAUGUCAACUGUCAGGUCCUUCAAAGAAAAAAGAUCAUCUCUAAGGCCCAAGAAAAAACAUUCUGCUGAACUAUACAUUUGUUUCAGGAAAGGGGCCUGGUCGAGUCUCCCUACAUCCCAGAAGUUUGCUGGAGUUGGGAUCUAAACAUCAUUGAGUGACGGCACAUUCAUCAUCAUCUAUCUUUAAUCAUGAAACAUUUAAAAUAAUGAAUGAUUUUUUUUCACAAAAACAUUUUUUACAGCAGGGAAAUGUCUGUAGCCAAUCAGAUGUCUCCUUCCUAUUCAGCCAAUCACGACAUACCCACCUUUAUUUCAAUAGAGGAACGAUAAACAACUUUCCAUGUUUUUUUCAAACAAUGCUAAACUUGAAUCUCUCCUUUUAUAAAGGUAUAUACACGUGUAGGAGCCAUCAUAUGGCCAUCAAUAGGUAAUUUGCAGUGGUGUGGUCUGUGAAGCCAAGUAAUGUUUUUCAUUAAUUGUAUGUUUUUUUAAAUUUGCAAACAACAUCCGCUCAUUAACCUGAUUAUAUUGUAUUCUGUAUGACCUUGUCUGCUGCUGCAACGCCCGAAUUUCUCCUAUGGGGAUCAAUAAAGUACCAUCCUAUCCUAUCCUAUAUCGUCACUUCUA